UGUGCCUGAGGUCUUCCCAAGCUUUUUGACAUCUGUGUAAAUCUGCUGAUUUCCACGGAGUUACCUAUGGCAACUAAAGAUAGGAGGAGAAAACAUUGGCUGGAGAACCAGGAAAUGAAAAGCCUUAGGAUAAAGAGCAAAACAGAUCAAUCCAGGAGAAGUCAAACUCCCUGUUUCCUAGACUGGCUCAGUGUGGCAGCAGUUUCAGUUGUGUCUCCGUUAUACACAAGCAGACUCAACAACAACAUGCCCUGCCACUGGGGGAACAAAUUCCUGAUGUUGCCAAAUGAGUCCUAAGGAAGCAGGGAACAAGGAAAGCCCACAGAGAUUAUAAGCAACUGAAAGGACAUUUUGGCCUGGAAAAAGGCAAUGAACUGUGAUACACUAUGCUCGUGAGGGAUCUGGAGGAGAUGGACAAGGGAACGCGCAUUAACCAAAUCACCUUGCCUUGCUAAUGCUGCUUGCUGAGUGUGCAGGCUUUGGUGGGACCCGAAGGGCGACAUUAGGGCAGUUAGUGUGAGGGAAUAAAACCCACAGCCACAGAUGACAGAGUUCCAUAAUAAGCAUUCUCCAGGAG
rnacentral:lncRNA from 1 species